CAGUAGCCGCGGUAAAACGUAGGGUGCGAGCGUUAAUCGGAAUUACUGGGCGUAAAGCGCACGUAGGCGGAUAUUUAAGUCAGGGGUGAAAUCCCGCAGCUCAACUGCGGAACUGCCUUUGAUACUGGGUAUCUUGAGUAUGGAAGAGGUAAGUGGAAUUCCGAGUGUAGAGGUGAAAUUCGUAGAUAUUCGGAGGAACACCAGUGGCGAAGGCGGCUUACUGGUCCAUUACUGACGCUGAGGUGCGAAAGCGUGGGGAGCAAACAGGAUUAGAUACCCCUGUAGUCCCUGUCUCUUAUAC
rnacentral:rRNA from 1 species